GCAUGGGAAUCUGCCCGAUAGUGGGGGACAACCUGGGGAAACUCAGGCUAAUACCGCAUACGUCCUACGGGAGAAAGCAGGGGAUCUUCGGACCUUGCGCUAUCGGAUGAGCCCAUGUCGGAUUAGCUUGUUGGUGAGGUAAUGGCUCACCAAGGCGACGAUCCGUAGCUGGUCUGAGAGGAUGAUCAGCCACACUGGGACUGAGACACGGCCCAGACUCCUACGGGAGGCAGCAGUGGGGAAUAUUGGACAAUGGGCGAAAGCCUGAUCCAGCCAUGCCGCGUGUGUGAAGAAGGCCUU
rnacentral:rRNA from 1 species